rnacentral:rRNA from 1 species
AGGACGAACGCUGGCGGCGUGCCUAACACAUGCAAGUCGAACGUCCUGUCUCGCAAGAGGCAGGGAGUGGCGGACGGGUGAGUACCACGUGGGUCAUCUACCGUGAGGUGAGGAAUACCGGCGAGAAAUCGCCGACAAGACCGCAUAGCCUCGGUGCAAGCCGAGGAAAGCUUUCUCGAGAGAGGGAGCGCCACACGAGGAGCCUGCGCCCGAUUAGCUAGCUGGUGGAGUAACGGUUCACCAGGGCGACGAUCGGUAGCUGGUCUGAGAGGACGAUCAGCCACACUGGGAUUGAGAACGGCCCAGACUCCUACGGGGGGCAGCAGUGAGGAAUUUUCGUCAAUGGGGGCAACCCUGAACGAGCAACGCCGCGUGCAGGAAGAAGGUUUCGGAUCGUAAACUGCUUUUCGUCGGGGAAGAGAACGAACGGUACCCGAGGAAUCAGCCCCGGCUAACUACGUGCCAGCAGCCGC